rnacentral:rRNA from 1 species
UACAGAGGUCCCGAGCGUUGUUCGGAUUCACUGGGCGUAAAGGGUGCGUAGGUGGCAGGGUAAGUCGGAUGUGAAAGCUCGGAGCUCAACUCCGAAAUGGCAUUGGAAACUACCCAGCUCGAGGGUUGGAGGGGGGACUGGAAUGCUUGGUGUAGCAGUGAAAUGCGUAGAUAUCGAGAGGAACACCAGUGGCGAAGGCGAGUCCCUGGACAACACCUGACACUGAGGCACGAAAGCUAGGGGAGCAAACAGG